AGCUUUGCACAGUGACAGUAUCAUAGCCAAUGAGGUUUAUCCGAGGCGCGAUUAUUGCUAAUUGAAAACUUUUCCCAUAGAGCCCCAUCCUCUGUGCCAGAUUUUGGACUGAGGGAUAUGGAGAUACUGAUUCUUCAG